rnacentral:rRNA from 1 species
UACGAAGGGUGCAAGCGUUACUCGGAAUUACUGGGCGUAAAGCGUGCGUAGGUGGUUUGUUAAGUCUGAUGUGAAAGCCCUGGGCUCAACCUGGGAACUGCAUUGGAAACUGGCUGACUAGAGUGCGGUAGAGGGGUGUGGAAUUCCCGGUGUAGCAGUGAAAUGCGUAGAUAUCGGGAGGAACAUCUGUGGCGAAGGCGACACCCUGGGCCAGCACUGACACUGAGGCACGAAAGCGUGGGGAGCAAACAGG